rnacentral:rRNA from 1 species
AGGACGAACGCUGGCGGCGUGCUUAACACAUGCAAGUCGAACGGUGACGGAGGAGCUUGCUCCUUCUGAUCAGUGGCGAACGGGUGAGUAACACGUGAGCAAUCUGCCCUUGACUCUGGGAUAACUGCGGGAACUGUAGCUAAUACCGGAUACGACCCUCGGAGGCAUCUCCUGGGGGUGGAAAGAAUUUUGGCAAGGAUGAGCUCGCGGCCUAUCAGCUAGUUGGUGAGGUAAUGGCUCACCAAGGCGACGACGGGUAGCCGGCCUGAGAGGGUGACCGGCACACUGGGACUGAGACACGGCCCAGACUCCUACGGGAGGCAGCAGUGGGGAAUAUUGCACAAUGGGCGAAAGCCUGAUGCAGCAACGCCGCGUGAGGGACGAAGGCCUUCGGUGUAAACCUCUUUAGUAGGAAGAAGCGAAAGUGACGUACCUGACAGAAAAGCACCGGACUAACUACGUAGCCACAGCCGACGGUAAUCGUGAGCGGCUGGACG